CCUACACUAAACUGCACUCAUUCCCUCUUUAUCUUUCAGCAGAUUCCAUCUCCAUCAUGCUGCUCUUUCUACUGUUACUACUGAUGCUUUUUCUAGGCAGCACAUCAAUGCAAAAGCGUCUUAUAGCAGAAAAGCAUGUUUCAGAAGGCGAUGAUGUCAUUCUGCCCUGCAAUUUAACUACUACUACAGGUGAUUAUGUACAGUGGUAUCGACAGUAUCCUGAAUCCAGACCAGUGUUCCUCAGCUCCACCUAUAUAUCUGCUGCUGAAAAACAACCUGGAAAUGCUGAUAAAAAACCUGAAGAUCUGAAGAUCUCCUCUGCUGCAGUAUCAGACUCUGCAGUGUACUACUGCGCCCUGAAGCCCACAGUGACAGGAAACUUAGCAACACUGUACAAAAACCUCAUUCCAGGCAAAGGAAGUGCUUAAAGUGUGCUCUAAACUUAAACACUGCAUCUCUGUAUUGGCAAAUAUAACACUUUAAUUUCUCAUCAAUACAUGUACAUUAAUUUAAAAAUUAAAUUGGC